rnacentral:ncRNA from 1 species
GCGUCCCGCCUCGUGAUCGUCUUCUCACCCUUCACGACGGCGGGCGAAAGGAAACGGCGGCCCCGCGAGGACAGGACUCGCGGGGCCGCCGC